AUGACCGGUGAGAAAACCAAUGGAAAGAACACAACUCUACCCAAAAACACUAAUGCACGAUUGGCGGGCCUCCAAGGGGGGUCGUGCCAUAGUCUCCUCUGUUGGAACUGCCGUGGGGCUGGCAGACCCGCGGCGGUUCGAGAGCUUUGUGACCUAACGAAGCAAUAUGCCCCCUUUGUACUUUGCAUCCUUGAGACUCAAAUAGAGGGAACGAGAGUUGAGAAUAUGGUUGGUUCUCUAGGUUUUAAUAAAAGCUUUGCUGUUAGUAGCUCGGGAGAAGUGGUGGUCUAG
rnacentral:rRNA from 1 species